rnacentral:rRNA from 1 species
UACGGGGGGGGGCAAGCGUUGUUCGGAAUUACUGGGCGUAAAGGGCUCGUAGGUGGCCAACUAAGUCGGACGUGAAAUCCCUCGGCUUAACCGGGGAACUGCAUCCGAUACUGGAUGGCUUGAGUUCGGGAGAGGGAUGCGGAAUUCCAGGUGUAGCGGUGAAAUGCGUAGAUAUCAGGAGGAACACCAAUGGCGAAGGCAGCUCGCUGGAACGAUACUGACGCUGAGGCGCGAAAGCGUGGGGAGCAAACAGG